GUGAGGAAUAUUGGUCAAUGGGCGGGAGCCUGAACCAGCCAAGUCGCGUGAAGGAAGAAGGAUCUAUGGUUCGUAAACUUCUUUUGCAGGGGAAUAAAGUGCAGGACGUGUCCUGUUUUGUAUGUACCCUGAGAAUAAGGAUCGGCUAACUCCGUGCCAGCAGCCGCGGUAAUACGGAGGAUCCGAGCGUUAUCCGGCUUUAUUGGGUUUAAAGGGUGCGUAGGUGGUUUGAUAAGUCAGCGGUGAAAGUUUGCAGCUUAACUGUAAAAAUGCCGUUGAAACUGUCGGACUUGAGUGUAAAUGAGGUAGGCGGAAUGCGUGGUGUAGCGGUGAAAUGCAUAGAUAUCACGCAGAACUCCGAUUGCGAAGGCAGCUUACUAAGCUACAACUGACACUGAAGCACGAAAGCGUGGGGAUCAAACAGGAUUAGAAACCCUUGUAGUCC
rnacentral:rRNA from 1 species